GAUCAUGGCUCAGGAUGAACGCUAGCUACAGGCUUAACACAUGCAAGUCGAGGGGCAUCAUGGAGUUGCUUGCAAACUCUGAUGGCGACCGGCGCACGGGUGAGUAACGCGUAUCCAACCUUCCCUAUAGUAGAGGAUAGCCCGGCGAAAGUCGGAUUAAUACUCUAUGUUUUCCGUUGCAGACAUCUAAGAUGGAACAAAGGCUUGCCGCUAUAGGAUGGGGGAUGCGUCUGAUUAGGUAGUCGGCGGGGUAACGGCCCACCGAGCCAUCGAUCAGUAGGGGUUCUGAGAGGAAGGUCCCCCACAUUGGAACUGAGACACGGUCCAAACUCCUACGGGAGGCAGCAGUGAGGAAUAUUGGUCAAUGGGCGAGAGCCUGAACCAGCCAAGUAGCCGUGCAGGACGACGGCCCUAUGGGUUGUAAACUGCUUUUAUGCGGGGAUAAAGUUCACUACGUGUAGUGUUUUGUAGGUACCGCAUGAAUAAGGACCGGCUAAUUCCGUGCCAGCCGCCGC
rnacentral:rRNA from 1 species